GACGAGGGGUCCUAGCGUUGUUCGGAAUCACUGGGCGUAAAGCGUAUGUAGGCGGGCUUUUAAGUCAGGUGUGAAAUCCCUCGGCUUAACCGGGGAACUGCGUCUGAUACUGGAUGGCUAGAGGUUGGGAGAGGGAUGCGGAAUUCCAGGUGUAGCGGUGAAAUGCGUAGAUAUCUGGAGGAACACCGGUGGCGAAGGCGGCAUCCUGGACCAAUUCUGACGCUGAGGAGCGAAAGCCAGGGGAGCAAACGGG
rnacentral:rRNA from 1 species